rnacentral:rRNA from 1 species
UAGGGAAUCUUCCACAAUGGACGCAAGUCUGAUGGAGCAACGCCGCGUGAGUGAAGAAGGUUUUCGGAUCGUAAAGCCCUGUCGUUGGUGAAGAAGGAUAGAGGCAGUAACUGGUCUUUAUUUGACGGUAAUCAACCAGAAAGCCACGGCUAACUACGUGCCAGCAGCCGCGGUAAUACGUAGGUGGCAAGCGUUGUCCGGAUUUAUUGGGCGUAAAGCGAGCGCAGGCGGAAUGAUAAGUCUGAUGUGAAAGCCCACGGCUCAACCGUGGAACUGCAUCGGAAACUGUCAUUCUUGAGUGCAGAAGAGGAGAGUGGAAUUCCAUGUGUAGCGGUGGAAUGCGUAGAUAUAUGGAAGAACACCAGUGGCGAAGGCGGCUCUCUGGUCUGCAACUGACGCUGAGGCUCGAAAGCAUGGGUAGCGAACAGG